CACUGGUGUAUAUUUAAGCUGUUGCGGUUAAAACGUUCGUAGUCGAAUUUCGGACGGUUUCGCCAGAGCGUCUGGCAGAUGCUGUGACCUCUGGCGUCCGUCUUCGUUCCUUUAUGCGACCCCGCGUUAUUAGCUUAGUGCGGGAGCUCGUUAAAGGUCUUUCACUGUGAUAAAAUCAGAGCGCUCAAAGCAGGCCACCUCGGCCAUUGAAUGUUCUUGCAUGGGAUGAUAAAAUAGGGCUUGUAUUCCUAUUUUGUUGGUUUCUAGGAGUUGAGCAAUGAUUAAUAGAAGCGGUUGGGGGUGUCGGUACUGCGGCGUUAGAGGUGAAAUUCUUGGAUCGCCGCAUGACCAACUUCUGCGAAAGCAUUCACCAAACACGCCUUCAUUGA
rnacentral:rRNA from 1 species